rnacentral:rRNA from 1 species
GACGAACGCUGGCGGCGUGCUUAACACAUGCAAGUCGAGCGGAAAGGCGCUUCGGGGUACUCGAGCGGCGAACGGGUGAGUAACACGUUAGUAACCUGCUCCCGACUUUGGGAUAACCCUCGGAAACGGGGGCUAAUACCGGAAACGACACAGCUUCGCAUGGGGUCUGGGUGGAAAGUUUUUCGGUUUUGGAUGGGCUCGCGGCUAAUCAUCUUGUUGUUGGGGUGAUGGCCGACGAAGGCGACGACGGAUAGGCGGCCUGAGAGCGCGACCGGCCACACUAGGACUGAGAGACGGACCAGACUCGUACGUGAGGCAGUGGUGGGAAGUAUUGCACAAUGGCGCGACGCGUGAUGUGGCGGCCCUGCGAGCGGGAUGACGGCCUACGGGUUGUAAACCUCUUUCAGCGGGGACGAAGCGGUAGUGACGGUACCUACAGAAGAAGCGCCGGCCAACUACGUG